rnacentral:misc_RNA from 1 species
AAAUAGCAGUAAUCCUGAAGUAUGUCUUUAUUGCCUGACUUCUUCAUGGCCACCAUGGAUUUUAACAAAGAAGAAUUUAACAAUUUACAAACUUGGUAUCCUGGAUUUGUGUUGAAUCAAAAUCAGCUGUCUCUCUUGGUGUAGAAAAAGUGUACGCCUGUGCUAGUCAACCUAGUUGCCAGGUAUAGGUAUAUUGAUCAUGUUUUUGGUAGAGAAAGGUUGAUCUUGUAAAUCAGGGUAGGUUUUACCUCUGUUUUUUAAGGAAGGUUUUUACUAACAUACUGACAUUAAGUCAGCGGGAUUAGACAUUUGAAGAUAGAUUUGUUUGCUGAUAAUUUAAUCCCAUUGUACUCUGUGCUUUAUCACUGACAUGCAUUAUACCUUUGUUCUAUAUACACGCUUUUAUGUGUUUUUUUCUAAUGUACCAUACUUGCCACUAAUAAAAAACGACAG